UUCUCCUCUAUUUCUUUACUCUCUCGUCUCUCUCAUCCCCUCUGCUAGUUUGCGCACUGACGCCGUCCUUCGCCGGUCGAAAAUCUCCACCACUGGUCGGCCGUUAUCCAAACUCCACAAACAACCUUACACCAGUCUUCUUCUCUUUCUCACAUCUACCUCAAUCCACGUCUCAAAUCCUCAGAAUCUCCAUCAAUCUUUACCAAUUUGGCCUUGACUGAAACUCUAGCCGCCCAAAAUUUUCUUUUUUUUCUUUCUCAAAUUCGUGACAAACCAGUCAUCCCCAACACAAAAAUCUCACAUAAACAUGUAGAUAUACUUGAGAUCCAUACUUCUCUUUUAAUUUCAUCCAUAAAUCUGAUCUCUGCUACUGCCAACUAGCAACCUCCACCUCCAUGACCUUUAACCAUCAGAAACUCACUCGGCCUUCUAUUUUAAGUUGUGUACGAUCUCGGACACCCUUUUUCUUUUGGUAUGGCGCACAAAUUAAUUUCCGAUGUGCAGAAUUUGUUGAACCAACACAUGCCCUUAAGACAAAAGGUGCUCGAAGGUCAAUUGACUGGCCAUUUGGCACCCCGUUAUUGCACCGAGGAUUCGAGGUUAAAGUUCUGAGAUUUUUAACAAAGUUGGAAUUCUCAAGCCAUUGGGAAUGAAAAUCCCAUAUUAGACGACACUCGAGAAUUCUAGGGAUGCAAAAAAAAGAGGGCUUCAAGAACGAUCUAAUAAAUUAGUCUUUUAAAGUCAAAUUUUAAUAAGAGAUUUAAAUUUUUAAAUAGAGUUUAUAUAUGUUUAACACAAUUUGCAAAAAAUUAGUGUUUUGUUUUUUUCUUAUAUUCAUUGUUUAUAGUGUAAUAUGCUUACAAGAUAUAAAAUCUUUAAUGUUA